ensembl:lncRNA
AUGGGCGACGGAGAAGGCAUAUGCGGGAGAACGCGCACCGUCGCCGCGACAGACACGCAGCUACUCAUCAUGAAACGCCGCCGAAAUAAUGGACCCGCGCGGCGCGUCGCUCUGUUUGGAUCAUUCCAGGUGAAAAAUGAAGCCUCGGUGAGCAACGUGCGGAGGGAGUCUGAGCAAGGAGCGGCGUGCAGACCGGCAGAGAGUCACCGCAGCCGGGAAGCCUUCAGUCCAGAUGUUCACGCACGCAAUAGGGAAACAACAGCAACGCCACUGGAACACAGCGGCGCCUUCGUAAACGGAGAUGCAUCACUUCCUCUGGUCACAACCGGGAGAAGAUCGAAUAUCGCCCAGAUGGUUGCACGUGAAUGGCAAAGCAGCAGCGGAUGUUUAUGGUGGACAGGGUCCUAAAAUAAAACGGAAGCAGGGACGGCCCUCGGUGGCAUGAAACCAUCGGACGUGG